CUUACCUGGUCUUGACAUCCACGGAAUUUGGCAGAGAUGCCUUAGUGCCUUCGGGAGCCGUGAGACAGGUGCUGCAUGGCUGUCGUCAGCUCGUGUUGUGAAAUGUUGGGUUAAGUCCCGCAACGAGCGCAACCCUUAUCCUUUGUUCCCAGCGGUCCGGCCGGGAACUCAAAGGAGACUGCCAGUGAUAAACUGGAGGAAGGUGGGGAUGACGUCAAGUCAUCAUGGCCCUUACGACCAGGGCUACACACGUGCUACAAUGGCAUAUACAAAGAGAAGCGACCUCGCGAGAGCAAGCGGACCUCAUAAAGUAUGUCGUAGUCCGGAUUGGAGUCUGCAACUCGACUCCAUGAAGUCGGA
rnacentral:rRNA from 1 species